CACCAGGUUUCAUUUGAUUUGUUGUGGAUUGGAUGAUGGAAAAACCAGCAAGAUAUGGCAUCAAAGCUUACCUUAUUUUAAAAAGGAUAAAGGGCUUUUUUUUUAUAGAUGUUGAGGUUGAGUAAGGGGGCAGAGCUUGAAAAGUGAAGUGAGUCGCGCUAGCCUAGCAACGUUUUUCAGCAGCAAGUUACGGCUUAAUGGCCCCCUUACUUAGUUUGGGGAGAUAAAUCCAAAAUCUAAAACGUUGGUUAAGGUUCCUAUCAUUUUAGGCGAGCUACUUCAUUCCAAACCUUACUCUAAUAAUUAGGUAAGCUUUCAAGCAACCUCCUUUAAUGGAGCGGGUGCAGUGAACUAUAAUUGUGAAAAGAUUUGAAGAUUUGGCCAAAAAAGGUGAUAGCCUUAUAGAUUCGUUCCCAUGGUUUGAUCCCUCUUAGUAAAAUAAGGUGUUUUUGAAUUCUUAUCACUUUUUUGAGAGAAAGGGGGACUACCCUAUAAGACUAUGUAUUCCUUAAUGACCGAUAGCAUACAAGUACCAUGAAGGAAAGGCAAAAAGAACACUAUUUACGGAGUGCAAUAGAGAACCUAAGAUCCAAUAUGAAUAAUCAGUCGAAGAAGAAGAGCUUAGAGCCUUUACUUUAUUUAUAGGUCACUUAGUCUAAUGACCUACCUUUUCCAUUUUGGGUUAGCAAAGAAAUGGCGAAAACAGCUUAAGCCAUUAGGUGUUGGCACUUUCUAGAGGUGGAAUCUUCUAGUUGUUUCUAUUUAACCCAAAAUCAACCAUUCUAGCCAUGAGUAGGUUUAAGAGAGCUCUAACAUUCCUUGGAAGACCAAACCCACGUAUGUGGAAAAUUAUAGGGAUGACUUGUGGCUAAGGGUGAAAGGCCAACCAUGAUCGCAUAUAGCUGGUUUUCUGCUAAAUCUAUUUUAGUAGAGCGUAUGAUGUAGAUGGCCUGAGGUAGAGCACUCAAUAGACUAGAGUAUCCUUAUUCCACCUUACCAACCAUAGGGAAACUCCGAAUACAGUCCUAGAUCUCUGACUAUAGGUCUAGAUCAUUUGUACAGAUAGAGUUUUUGGGUGCUAUGAUCCAAAGUUAAGUGGGAAACAACCCAGAUCACACGGUAAGGUCCCUAACCAAUCAAUUAAUGGAAAAGUAAGUGAUCAAGCGAUGACAAGUAGAAGGUGGAAUUAGAAGUAACCAGCCUUUAAAGAAAAUUUAGUAGCUCACUAAUCUAGCUCCAAGCCACCAAAAAUGUUUCAGGCAUCAAGUGAUUCAUUGGAAAGCUUCUUUUUCAAGUGUUAGUAGCAGAAUAUUCUGUCAAUUGGAGAAUGUUUUUGGUGAAAAGACCUAGAGAUAUAAAAAGUGAGGAGUUGGCAUGAGUAACAAAAAUCCCUAUAAAAAACACGAUCGCCUGCCAGUGGAAGGUUUUUUGUGUUUACUCAAUCUACGAAGAGUGAAUCUGUCCUAAAGGAACCCUCGAAAGGUCCUAGUCUGAUGGGUACACAAAAGUGACAAAGUUACUAUGACUACAAAACCAUUCCUGUCUGUUGGAGUGAAUUAGAUGUUUGGGGCGAGGAUGCCCCCUCUUCUCCUCACUAUACUUUCCCUAAUAUGAACCUUGAGUCAUCAAAGCCUUUUUGACUCAGUCAAGUCUGAUCUCCCUACGCGACUGGUGCUUCAAAAUGUAAAACUCUCAGUCGUAGUUUGGUGACCUAUCUUCAGUAGGGUCCUUUAGUGUUUUAAUUAUAGUAGGGGUCACAAGAGAGUAGAGCAUACCACUCUGCCAUAGUCAUGAGUCUGUUUAUUGUCACAAUUGUUGUCCUAAUCAACAAGGUUGAAACUUCUAGGAAAAAACUUUUAAUUGGGAGUGUGAUUCUCUUGGUGAUCUGACCAUAACCCAAACUGAGAUAGGUGAAAAAGUAGAGUAUACUAGGGUGCUUGAGAGAACCAUGUCAAAGCAACUCGAUGAAAUGACCCAGUAACUUUAGGAGAAGGGGUGCUCUCCUAUAUUUUGAUUAGGAAAGCAGCACAUACCAGGGGGUAGCGACUAUUUAGUAAAAACACAGGACUCUGCUAAGUGGUCAAACGAUGUAUAGAGUUUGACACCUUCCUAGUACUGGAAGGUCAGAAAGAGAAGUGUUAUAAGUUUUAAAUAGAAGCCCCAGUAAAUGACAAUAGUAACUCUAAUUAUCCUAAGGUAGAAAAAUUCCUUGUUGCAGAAGUAGUAACCCGUACGAAUGAUGUAACGACUGCCCCACCAUCUCUGACAUAGACCCGAUAAAAUUGAAUUCUUUGUGAAAAAGUGGAGUACUAACGGCUAGACGGUAUGACCCCGUGCACCUUAACUAUAGAUUCAUAGUGACAACCUCAAUCAAAUAUGUAGGGUAGGUGGGAGGUGGUAACACACAAUGACCAAUAUUGAAAGAUCAAUUCAUUAUCUAAGGAUGCCUAACUUCCACACUAAUCAUUAAGAGGGAGUAAAGACACUGUGAGAUGAGUAGUUUAUCUGGGGCGGAUGCCUCAUAAAGAGUAGCGAAGGUAUCCAAAGGUCGGCUCAAGCUAAGAUUCUACUCAUGAGAAUAAUGGUUUAAGCCUAUGUGACUGUGAGACAGACUGGUCACACCGAGAUAAAAGUUGGCCAUAGUAAAAUGGGAGUCCCGUGUAGAAGGGCUCUUGCUCAAUGGAUUAAAGGUACAUCAGGGAUAAUAGGAUGAUGACUCCCAAGAGCUCUUAUCGACAGAUUCGAUUGGCACCUCGAUGUCGAUUCAUCAUAUCUUGGGGUUAAAGAAGGUCCCAAGGGUUUGGUUGUUCGCUAAUUCAAGUGGUACAUGAUUUUGGUUUAGAACGUCGUGAGACUGUUUAGUUCCUAUCUACCAUUGGCGUUAAAUGGAGAGAAACAAAGAGCAAACCCUAGUACGAGAGGAAUGGAUUGGGCUAAACUAUGGUGCACUAAUUGUUAUACCAAUAACAGUACCGAGCAACUAAGUUGGUAUCGAAUAACUUCUAAGCCACGAGAAAUCCUUCUCUAUACAAGUUCUAGGAUGAGGGUUUUGAACAGAACUUUGAUAGGUGAGAGGUAUAAGCACUACGAGGUGUAAAUUGAUCUCGUACUAAACAAAAUGACUAUCACUU
rnacentral:rRNA from 1 species